rnacentral:rRNA from 1 species
UACGUAGGGGGCAAGCGUUGUCCGGAUUCAUUGGGCGUAAAGAGCUCGUAGGCGGCUUAGCAAGUCGGGUGUGAAAACUCCAGGCUCAACCUGGAGACGCCACCCGAUACUGCUAUGGCUAGAGUCCGGUAGGGGACCACGGAAUUCCUGGUGUAGCGGUGAAAUGCGCAGAUAUCAGGAGGAACACCGGUGGCGAAGGCGGUGGUCUGGGCCGGAACUGACACUGAUGAGCGAAAGCCAGGGGAGCAAACGGG